AUUGAACGCUGGCGGCAGGCCUAACACAUGCAAGUCGAGCGAGCGGCGGACGGGUGAGUAAUGUCUGGGAAUCUGCCUGAUGGAGGGGGAUAACUACUGGAAACGGUAGCUAAUACCGCAUACCAUCAGAUGUGCCCAGAUGGGAUUAGCUAGUAGGUGGGGUAAUGGCUCACCUAGGCGACGAUCGCUAGCUGGUCUGAGAGGAUGACCAGGCACACUGGAACUGAGACCCGGUCCAGACUAGUACGGGAGGCAGCAGAGGGGAACAUGGCGCAAUGGGCGCAAGCCUGAUGCGGCCAUGCCGCGUAUGUGAAGAAGGCCUUCGGGUUGUAAAGCACUUUCAGCGAGGAGGCGUUACUCGCAGAAGAAGCACCGGCUAACUCCGUGCCAGCAGCCGCGGUAAUUC
rnacentral:rRNA from 1 species